AACGAACGUUGGCGGCGUGGAUGAGGCAUGCAAGUCGAACGUGAAAGCCGCAAGGUGAGUAGCGUGGCGGACGGGCGAGUAACACGUAAUCAAGCUGCCUGCGAGACGGGGAUAACUUCGGGAAACCGAAGCUAAGACCCCGAUGGUCUACCGAGACUGCAUGGUUUUGGUAGUAAAUGGGCGGGAUCCUCCGGGAUCGUCUGCUCGCAGAGGUGAUUGCGGCCCAUCAGCUAGUUGGUAGGGUAACGGCCUACCAAGGCAACGACGGGUAGCCGGCCUAACGAGGGUGGUCGGCCGCACUGGGACUGAGACACUGCCCAGACUCCUACGGGAGGCUGCAGUCGAGAAUCCUCCGCAAUGGGCGAAAGCCUGACGGAGCGACGCCGCGUGGAGGACGAAGGCCUU
rnacentral:rRNA from 1 species